UACGUAGGGACCAAGCGUUGUUCGGAUUUACUGGGCGUAAAGGGCGCGUAGGCGGCGUGGUAAGUCACUUGUGAAAUCUCUGAGCUUAACUCAGAACGGCCAAGUGAUACUGCUGUGCUAAAGUGCAGAAGGGGCAAUCGGAAUUCUUGGUGUAGCGGUGAAAUGCGUAGAUAUCAAGAGGAACACCUGAGGUGAAGACGGGUUGCUGGGCUGACACUGACGCUGAGGCGCGAAAGCCAGGGGAGCAAACGGG
rnacentral:rRNA from 1 species